rnacentral:rRNA from 1 species
AGAACCUUACCUAAGCUUGACAUCCUUUUGACCGAUGCCUAAUCGCAUCUUUCCCUUCGGGGACAGAAGUGACAGGUGGUGCAUGGUUGUCGUCAGCUCGUGUCGUGAGAUGUUGGGUUAAGUCCCGCAACGAGCGCAACCCUUGCCUUUAGUUGCCAGCAUUAAGUUGGGCACUCUAGAGGGACUGCCAGGGAUAACCUGGAGGAAGGUGGGGAUGACGUCAAAUCAUCAUGCCCCUUAUGCUUAGGGCUACACACGUGCUACAAUGGAUGGUACAGAGGGCAGCCAAGUCGUGAGGCGGAGCUAAUCCCUUAAAGCCAUUCUCAGUUCGGAUUGUAGGCUGAAACUCGCCUACAUGAAGCUGGAGUUACUAGUAAUCGCAGAUCAGAAUGCUGCGGUGAAUGCGUUCCCGGGCCUGUACACACCG